AUGGUGAGGGGCUUCUAUUGGGGUUCUUCAAAUGGUAAACGGAAGGUUCAUUGGCGUGCUUGGGAUGAUUUGUUACAGCCAAAGAAUAAAGGCGGUGCUGGAUUCCGGGAUUUUCGUCUGUUUAAUCAAGCGUUAUUAGCUCGUCAGGCUUGGCGUUUAAUUACUAGACCAGAGAGCUUAUGUGCACAAGUUCUGAAGGCCAGGUACUAUCCAGAAGGGAAACUAGAGGACACUGUUUUUUCUGGGAAUGCCUCAUCAUCUUGGCAGGCUAUUUCUUAUGGGCUGGAGCUUUUGAAAAAAGGUUUGGUUUGGAGAGUUGGGAAUGGCAGGAGCAUCCGAGUCUGGCGUGAUAAUUGGAUACCCCGUCCUUUCUCAUUCAAACCUAUCACGCUUCAGGGCAGAUGCCGUAUACGUUUUGUGUCUGAAUUGUUGAAUGCUAAUGGUUCUUGGAAUAUAGGAUUGCUACAGGAGUAUUUUUUGCCGCCUGAUGUGUUGGAAAUUAUUAAAAUUCGAGCUUCGCCCCGGUUGGAAGAUGAUACACUUGCUUGGGGUCCAGGCAAAUAUGGUAUUUUUACUGUGAAGAGUGCAUAUCAAUUUGCCUUCGAUGAAGCUCACAGAAUGAAUGCAGCGGGAUCUAGUUCCAGUCCGGAUGGUCGCCGUUCUUGUUGGAACCUUAUUUGGUCUUGCGAUGUUCCUCCUACAGUUCGAAACUUUGCUUGGAAAGUCGCUACUAAUGCUUUGCCGACAUGGCAGAAGAAGCACAGUAGGAGUCUGGAGGUUAAUGACCUUUGUCCAAUUUGUGCUGUUGAGCCGGAAGAUAACUUCCAUCCCCUCUGUCGCUGCACUUUUGCUAGAGAAUUAUGGUCAACAAUGUCGGAGGUUUGGUCCUUACCUGACUUGGCUGCUAUUAGAAAUACAGGUAAGGAAUGGCUGCUUCAUGUCCUUGACCCAUUGCCAGAAAUCGAGAGGUGCAUGCUUCUUAUGACUUUGUGGAGGAUUUGGCACAUCCGUAAUGAAGUGUUACACCAUAAACCUGCGCCCCCAAUGGAAGCGUCCAGGAGGUAUUUGGUGAGUUACCUUGAUUCCUUGGUUGGUCUUAAAAUUGAUCUAUCUUCUGAUCCGAGCAAAGGGAAGUCCUUAGUUACAUACGACAGGCCACUUAAAAAUCCACAUGUUCGAAUAGUUGAGAGCACUCCUGUCAAAUGGUGUCCCCCUAUGGCGGGUUGGGUGAAACUGAAUACUGAUGGGUCCUUUGCAGUAAAUGGUACGGCUGGUGCGGGGAUGGUGCUGCGAGAUGACAAAGGUAAUGUCAUCUACUCAGCUUGCAGGGAGCUUUUUUCAUGCCGAGAAAUUCUUGAAGCUGAGUUGUGUGCUUGCAUGGAAGGCCUGUCUUUUGCAAUUCAGAGAAGCGACUUGCCGAUCAUUAUUGAGAUGGACUCCAUUAUUGCAGUCAAGCUGAUUCAAGCGAUGGAUAUUGAUAGAUCGAUCUACUCUUCUUUAGUUAAAGAAAUUAGACACCUGAUGUCUCUUCGUGAUUCUUGUAUUACUCAUAUAAAUCGUACGCAAAAUAAGGUUAGCGAUAGCUUAGCAAAGUUUGCUAGACAAGAGGGCAGAACAAUGACCUGGGUUGGGUCAGGCCCAUCAGUUUCUUUAGAGCUAGCCGAGGCUGAUUGUAUGGACAUUGAGAUUUGA
rnacentral:rRNA from 1 species